GGGGGCCCGCACAAGCGGUGGAGCAUGUGGUUUAAUUCGAUGCAACGCGAAGAACCUUACCUACUCUUGACAUCCAGAGAACUUAGCAGAGAUGCUUUGGUGCCUUCGGGAACUCUGAGACAGGUGCUGCAUGGCUGUCGUCAGCUCGUGUUGUGAAAUGUUGGGUUAAGUCCCGCAACGAGCGCAACCCUUAUCCUUUGUUGCCAGCGGUCCGGCCGGGAACUCAAAGGAGACUGCCAGUGAUAAACUGGAGGAAGGUGGGGAUGACGUCAAGUCAUCAUGGCCCUUACGAGUAGGGCUACACACGUGCUACAAUGGCAUAUACAAAGAGAAGCGACCUCGCGAGAGCAAGCGGACCUCAUAAAGUAUGUCGUAGUCCGGAUUGGAGUCUGCAACUCGACUCCAUGAAGUCGGAAUCGCUAGUAAUCGUGGAUCAGAAUGCCACGGUGAAUACGUUCCCGGGCCUUGUACACACCGCCCGUCACACCAUGGGAGUGGGUUGCAAAAGAAGUAGGUAGCUUAACCUUCGGGAGGGCGCUUACCACUUUGUGAUUCAUGACUGGGGUGAAGUCGUAACAAGGUAACCGUAGGGGAACCUGCGGUUGGAUCACCUCCUUACCUUAAAGAA
rnacentral:rRNA from 1 species